UUAUUAGUAGGUAGAGAGGUCCCUUGUGUCACUGGAUUUGAGAAUGAGUGGCAAGGUGCCAAUAAUGCUGGCAGGAAGAGUAGCUAUAAAUUGAUGGUUGUGGUGAUCUGAAUAAGAAUGAUCCCAUAGACUCAUGUGUUUGAAUACUUAGUCAGCAGGGAAUGGCAUUACUUGAAAGGGUUAGCAGGAUUAGGAGGGGUGGCCUUGUUAGAGAAAGUGUGUCACAGGGGAUCAGCUUUGAUAUACAUCUAAAGCCCAUAUCAGGACUAGUUCUCCCCCACCCAUCUCCCGUCCCUCUCAGUCUUUCUCUCUCUUUGCCUGUGGAACAGUAUAUAAAGCUGUCAGCUCCAGGACGACGCCUGCCUGCACUCUGCCAUGCUGCUCACCAUGAGGUAAAUGGCUGCCAUAAAGGAUCACACUUCACCAUGUCGCUUGGAUUGAGGCUGCUGUGGAUAAAAAUUCCUGGAAAAAAAGCUGUGUGAAAAAAAGCAGACCGACAGACUUAAGCUUCAAGGACUGGGGAGAGUUCAGAAUAUUACAGGGUCAUUUCCUAAUGAAAACUCUUCUAGUGCUAUCUUUAGCCCCUAAAGAGACAUUCUUGUCCACCUCUCUUUUGUAUUUAUCAUCCAUACAAACAGAUAAAAACUCUUUGGAAUGUAUUAACAACACCCCCUUCUCAGCCUGCCAAGGUGCUAAGAAGAAUGCUGUCACAUAGAAUCUGAGGUUGGGUCUGGUGUUCCUCUACUUUUAAGACUCCUCUCUGAGGUUUCCACCAAUAUAUAUUAAACAUCCAUUCAUGCUCAACUUUAUUUGUCUUGGUACUAUUAAAAAAAACUGUCAUGAAACUGUAGGGACAUUGGAACAUGGAGCUUGGAACAACCUAAAUCCCUGUUCCAGGUCCAUCGUUACAUCCAUUUGGCUUCAGAACAAACCCUCUUACUCCCUUUGAGGUGAGAGCUGUGUUUUUGAGGUGACCCUGUAUAUGCGCACACUCCCUUGUCAUGAUCUGCAAACCCCUGGAUGACAGGCCCUCCUGCUCCUCUUCUGUUUUUCUCAUGGACAAUCCAUGCAGGUGGCAAGUUUGUGCUCUGAACUAUCUGGGCACAGACAUAAACAAGCCCUGCUCAGCAAGUUGAGAGUUCUUUUGAUUCCAUGCCCACCCCAUAUGCCACUACAGCUGACUUCUCCCAUGUGAAUCUAAAAGGCAAACAGGAAAUUCACCCAGACACUGGAUCCCCACAUCUGGCAAGCUUAGUGCAACUCAUUUACUUCUUGGGUUUUCAUUUUCCAGUGAGCUCUGGAUCUCUCACAAGGACAACCAGGAAACCCAAACUGCACAGGCUCCUCUUCACCUGCCCUCUGUGCACCCCAACUGACCCUCAGCCUCCUGAGACCUCUCCUAGACUCCCUGGAGCCCCCAUGUGAAGUCACCUCCUCUGCCAGUAAAAGUUUUCCAGGACUCUAGGAAGCAUGCCAGGGUGCUGGGGUCUACAGCGCUGUUGCUGUGCACACUCUGGAGGGUGACUGCAUAGGGACCAUUGCCAAGCCCCUUAUGUGACCACUCACUCCUUCAGAGAAAGUUUGUGAAUCCCUGAAAUUCAGGCUGCAGCACAGUCAGCUUCCCUUCAGUUGAAGCCUUCCUUCCUUCCCAAGGAGGUACCAGCCUGGCUAGCCAACCCUGCCUGCUGUGAUGCAGCCUUUCUAGCCCCUGGAGGACUGCUCCUCUUGAUGAUCUUAACCCUUUGUGUCUGGGAGGCAAGCUGCAUUUCCAAGGUUGAGCAAAAAUGUGGUUCUCUGGUGACCAGACUGCAGGACCUGUUUCAUAGAAGAAGCAUCCAUGAAACAGCCAGAGAGACACAGACUGAAAAA